CGGUAGCUAAUACCGCAUAACGUCGCAAGACCAAAGAGGGGGACCUUAGGGCCUCUUGCCAUCGGAUGUGCCCAGAUGGGAUUAGCUAGUAGGUGGGGUAACGGCUCACCUAGGCGACGAUCCCUAGCUGGUCUGAGAGGAUGACCAGCCACACUGGAACUGAGACACGGUCCAGACUCCUACGGGAGGCAGCAGUGGGGAAUAUUGCACAAUGGGCGCAAGCCUGAUGCAGCCAUGCCGCGUGUAUGAAGAAGGCCUUCGGGUUGUAAAGUACUUUCAGCGGGGAGGAAGGGAGUAAAGUUAAUACCUUUGCUCAUUGACGUUACCCGCAGAAGAAGCACCGGCUAACUCCGUGCCAGCAGCCGCGGUAAUACGGAGGGUGCAAGCGUUAAUCGGAAUUACUGGGCGUAAAGCGCACGCAGGCGGUUUGUUAAGUCAGAUGUGAAAUCCCCGGGCUCAACCUGGGAACUGCAUCUGAUACUGGCAAGCUUGAGUCUCGUAGAGGGGGGUAGAAUUCCAGGUGUAGCGGUGAAAUGCGUAGAGAUCUGGAGGAAUACCGGUGGCGGAAGGCGG
rnacentral:rRNA from 1 species